AUUCCAGCUCCAAUAGCGUAUAUUAAAGUUGUUGCGGUUAAAAAGCUCGUAGUUGGAUUUCUGCUAGGGACGAUCGGUCCACCCACUGGGUGUGUAUCUGUGUCGGCCUUGGCAUCUUCCUGGCGAACGCAACUGCACUUGACUGUGUGGUGCGGUAUCCAGGACUUUUACUUUGAGGAAAUUAGAGUGUUUCAAGCAGGCGCACGCCUUGAAUACAUUAGCAUGGAAUAAUAAGAUAGGACCUGAGUUCUAUUUUGUUGGUUUCUAGUACUGAAGUAAUGAUUGAUAGGGAUAGUUGGGGGUGCUAGUAUUGGCCGGCCAGAGGCGAAAUUCUUGGAUUCGGUCAAGACUAACUUAUGCGAAAGCAUUCACCAAGGACGUCUUCAUCA
rnacentral:rRNA from 1 species